AUUGCUUCUCAGCCUUUUGGCUAAGAUCAAGUGUAGAAAUGGGCAGCGUUGUGAUUUUUAGGCUUUUUCAUACCUAUCACCAAGUGUUUUGAGGAAAAUUUUAAAUGAGCUAUCACCACUCAUUUAAGAUUUUUUUUC
rnacentral:snRNA from 1 species